rnacentral:misc_RNA from 1 species
UUUAUACAAGUCUAAGGUUUAGUAAGACCCCCAAAAAUUCAUCGAUGAAGUAUAUUAGUUACUUUUGUCUAUAGGGUUGUCCUCAAGUGAAAAGGCAGAGUUGGCCACUUAUCAUCUCAAGGACGUUGCUCAAGCAUGGUUUGUGCAAUGAAGAGAUAACAGUCCUUUGAUAGGUGGUCUUUUGACUUUAGAGAUCCUCAAGAAUGCUUUUCUAGAACGGUUCUUAUUUAAGGGGAUGCGGAA